UACGUAGGGGGCAAGCGUUGUCCGGAUUUAUUGGGCGUAAAGAGCUCGUAGGUGGUUCGGUAAGUCGGAUGUGAAAUCUCCGGGCUCAACCUGGAGGGGUCAUUCGAUACUGCCGUGACUAGAGGUCGGUAGGGGAGUGUGGAAUUCCAGGUGUAGCGGUGAAAUGCGUAGAUAUCUGGAGGAAUACCGGUGGCGAAGGCGGCGUUCUGGACUGCAACUGACACUGAGUGAACGAAAGCCAGGGGAGCAAACGGG
rnacentral:rRNA from 1 species